rnacentral:lncRNA from 1 species
CCCCCAGCAAUGUCGAUGCCCAUCGGCCGAUCUGGCCUCAGGCGGCGCCAAAGCAAGCCAACCGAUCUGGCCCCAAGUGGUCGAGAAGCCCUCUGGCCGAUCCGCUUUUGGGCGGUGCCGAAGCCAUUCACUGGCGGACCCAAUCCUCGGCGGCGCCAAGGCCACCAGCAGGUGGCUCCGAAGCCCUCACAUAGGCCUAGCCUACCGACGACACUGAUCUCUACCUGCCAAGCCUUCGACCUCGCUCAGCUCGCGGCACCGAUUUCUCCCAAAUCUGGGCUCCUAAGGUUCACCCCCUUCACC